rnacentral:rRNA from 1 species
AUGUUCUACUCCAAGACGAUGCUGUCCAAGAAGGGCCCGCUGGGCGCGGUGUGGGUGGCCGGCGUCUGCGGCGUCGCCGCGCUCACCAGGGACCAGGUCCUGCGCACCGACGUCGCCUCCUCCGUUGACAAGAUUUUACCCGACGUUGAAACCACCUACAGAAUACUUGGGUUGCUUCUGCUUGGCGUUGUUAGGAUUUACUGCAAGAAGGUGGAAUACCUCUGCUAUGACAGCAAUCAGUUUUUUGAAUCUACUGUAAGAGGGAAGAAAGUUCUAAAGCGAGGGAAGAAAGGUGUUUGUGCAAGAAGAUUGGUGCUAGACCAAGAAGACACUAGAAGAGCGAAAAGAGUUGCUGUAGUUCAAGUCCCAGAAUUGGACGAACCAGCUGAUCUUCCACCAAUCUUCACCGUACCCAAAAGAUUUGAGCUCGACUCUUUUGAUUUGCAGAUACCUGAAGACAGAGAGGAUGACAAUGAUGAUCAUCACCAAUUGCCUCGUCAAGAUACUUUGUUGGAAGAUGAACAUCAGCGUAUGCCAAAUUUGUACGAGGGGAUGCCAUAUGCUGAUCUGGACUCUGCUUACGUUGUGCCAGUAUGCAUCAUCCCAACUGAAAUGAUCAGUGUCACUGAUGAAGUCACCGAUCUUCUGUACUUGAGUAACAUAGGGGAUGAACUUGAAAAUGAAAGUCAGAAUCCUGAUCCUGCUUGCUUUACACCAGUGAAGGAUGUUCUUCCACCUGAGGCGAUGGAUAUGAUGGCUGAAGCAAGUGACCUUCCAGAGAAAAGCAAAGAGGUGAAGAAAGCUAGAAGAGAAGUGAAUGGUGAAGAGAAUGGUGAUCCUGCUUGUUCUACCCCUUUGCCGGAGAAUCAAGAAAUGCAAAGACCUGUGAAUGCUGUGGAGAAUGUGGUGUGUGCAGAUCUUGAUGAAAAUCAUCCUGUAGUCGAAGAAUCAGAAAAUGGGUUAGCGGUAGGAAAACCGAACACAGCACUAUCUGUAGAAAUUCCUGACAUCGAGGAACAAGAGUCUCUGGAACCUUCCACUCCAGAGCCCUUGCGAGAGGGAGCCUCAGAAAAAUUUGUGGUUGCAACACCUGCUCAAAAUGAGAAGCGCCAGGUUACCAGAAAAAGGAGGAGGGGGUUACACAAUAAGAGAAAAGUUUGGGUGCUGUGGGAUGAGAAUGUUAUCCUUGAUAAUGACACGAUGAGAGAAAUGGUAGAUGGGGUUGGUGUAGAGGAUCUUGUCGUCAAAAGAAGGAAGGCGCCUCACACUCGCCAUCAGAUUUGGAGGGAGCCAAGAUUCCGUUCUCUGCAGGAUACUUUCAUGGAGCCAAUUAUUCAAUGUGGCGCUUUCCUGGAGCCAAUUAUUCAAUAUUCGACUACAGUGCGCCUUAAUUCUACUACAGCUGAUGCCUCAUGUGGGGAAUCCGUUAAAGCAAAGAAGUGUCUUUCAUAUGAACCUGCUGAAUCCAACAAUCCCCACAAGGAAGCUGCAAAUGAAGAAACAGAAUGUGUCCCAGAUGAACUGACAAAUGGCAUCCAGACUCCUGUUGGGUGCUACAAUCAAAGUCAGCAAAGUCAAGAUGUUUGUGAAUGCAAUGAUGAAACACCCUAUGAAAAGAACAACACACUAGUCAAUGGAGAUGAAUCAGUGCUGCCAGAAGAGAGAUUGUAUGAAUCAACCAGUCACAGUGCAUUGCGCAAUGAAUCAUUGACUGCUGAUAUAGAUGCGGAUAUUCCUAUGGAUGAAGAGCAUGCUGCCAGAGAUGAAGAUUUCCCGCUUUCAACAAGAACUAGGGCAGUAGCAAAGUGCCUCCAUCAGCUAUUCUUGGACCAGAAGUCCCAGGAGCAAAGUAAUGUCCCUGUGACGCUCGGCCAAGCCCUUGAAGGCAGCAAGAGGAAAACCACAGCAAGAUUCUUCUAUGAAACUCUGAUCCUCAAGAGCCGCGGGUUGAUAGACGUGAAUCAGGAGAAGCCCUAUGAGAACAUCACAAUCUCUGCAACUCCACAACUCAACGCGAUGCUGCAGAAUCCAGUGCCCCCUUCAACUUCUUAG